rnacentral:pre_miRNA from 1 species
AGUGGAAUUGCUGGGUCAUAUGGGAACUUUAACUUUUUAAGAAACUGCCAACCUUUUUACUAAAGUGGCUGUACCGUUUUGCAUUCCUACCAGCAAU